AAAUAUAAUCUGAUACAGACAGGCCUUGGUGGUAAACGAAGGUUGCAUCCUUUAUUUAUCGGAUCCAAUCGGGGCUACUCUGACCCGAUCCGUUUACACGUCAAGCAAAAAGCGAGCACAUACACUAUAUGAUUUGUCAAGAGUUGAAGGGUGUCGGAGCAAAAUUACCUUUCCACCUUCUCCACCAAGUAAAGGAACGGCGUUCCGAAAGGUUCCCGGAGUUCUUGUUCCCCCUUCCUGCCUGUCGAUAUCUCUUGUGUCCUCGCUUGAUCUCGUAACCCGGAACUCGAUCGAAGAAGGAAACGGUUUAUCAUUCUAGUUUUGUUGAUGAAGAAGGGAUAACGAAAGCCUGCGGUUGCCCCCUUCUUCCAUUGAAAACUCAUAUUAAGGGUCCGGCUCCUGUCUCAGAUCAAGACAAAAUCAACAUUGUUGAUGAGGCAAUAACUUUCUUUCGAGCAAAUGUCUUCUUUAAAAUUUUCGUGCAAAUGUCUUCCAAUCAUUGUGGCUCUGAAACGGCUUGAGGGUUGCAGAAAUCUUGCUGCGGGGACCAAAGCUAUCAUUAAUUUGGAGCUAUUCAGGAACUAUUCGAAGCAGAUAAGAGAGGAGACAAGUGGAAGGCUGCCUAACUGUGCUUAACGGCCUAAUGGCACCCCUAACAAGUGGUGGCUAGCUUUCGCAAAGAUGAAGUUAAUGAAUAUAGUUGUUCUCUAGUGUUUCGGCUUCGAAUGCAAUUUGUGAAUGUAGCAUGUGAACUGUAAAGCCAUUAACCUGCUUUUCAGCCUCCCACAAUUCGAAUGGGGACUACACACUUGAUGAUAUCUGAAUUGUUGAGUGAACAAGCAGUAUAGUAGUGGAAUAAGAACGCUGGAAUGAGCAAACAAGUCUUGUAAAAGAGGUCCUUAAUGUCUUUGGUGUUAGUCUGAAUUGGUCUUUGUUUGA